rnacentral:rRNA from 1 species
CCUACGGGUGGCAGCAGUGGGGCAUAUUGGGCAAUGGGCGCAAGCCUGACCCAGCACCGCCCCGUGAAGGAAGAAGGCUUUCGGGUGGUAACCUUCUUUUCUGAGGGACGAAGAAAGUGACGGUACCUCAGGAAUAAGCCACGGCUAACUACGUGCCAGCAGCCGCGGUAAUACGUAGUGGGCAAGCGUUAUCCGGAUGUAUUGGGGUCAAAGGGCGUGUAGGGGGGAAAGCAAGUCAGAUGUGAAAACUCAGGGCUCAACCCUGAGCCUGCAUUUGAAACUGUUUUUCUGGAGUGCUGGAGAGGCAAUCGGAAUUCAGUGUGUAGCGGUGAAAUGCGGAGAUAUACGGAGGAACACCAGUGGCGAAGGCGGAUUGCUGGACAGUAACUGACGCUGAGGCGCGAAAGCGUGGGGAGCAAACAGGAUUAGAUACCCUAGUAGUC